rnacentral:lncRNA from 1 species
GAAGUGGGUGGCAAUCUGAACCCGGGCUCCUUCUGGCCUCUGGGUUUGAUUCAGACGCCAGACCACCCAGGCCGGUGGCACUUGCCAAGACGUGGCUGAGCGCUGUCUGGGAGCUGCCUCCGAUGCGGAGCGCCAGGGCCGGCUGCAGGACCGUCAGCCUGGGGUCCUCGAGGCCGGCCUCACGGGCCUCUGCACCCGGCAGGGCCCACAACGUGAGGGUGCCCAGGUGAUUCUGUAGCUCGGAGAGUCUCUGCCUCCCUUCCGGGGAGGGAGGAAGGUGUGUGCAAGACCUGGGCAGCGGGCCCAGGCAUGGGCAGCAUCGGCCAAGCAGGCGCGGGGGGCAGGGCUGCCUCCCUGGUGAACCUGCCUCCCGUGUGUGCCUUGGCCCCCAGCCACGCGUGCACAGUAUUGAAAGGCGGGAACGUGCCCCAGCUCCGGUGUUUGGGUGCGGCCUUUGGGCCGUGAGGAGGUGAAGUCACUGGGGUGGAGCCCCACGCCUGAAUCCUCUCGGUGGCUCUACAAGGAGGAGAGAGACCGACGCUCCCUGCCUCUCACUGCGUGAUCCCCGCGUCACCUCGGGACCCUGCCAGCAAGGCCAUCACCAGACACAGCCUCCCAAAGCUCGCACCCACGCUGUGCCGCCCCCCGCCCCAGCCUGGGAAGCCGCUCUGCCCACACCUGCUUGUCCUGCUGCUGCGUGCUCAGCCUCAGUACCCCCUCCUCCAGGAAGCCUUCCAACCCAGGGACGAUGCCCCAGCGUUGGAUAUCUGGCCUGGCCCCUUCCACGGACGACUCCCAUCAGACGGGCUCUGGGGCAGAGUCCGAGUGGGAGAAGGAGUGGGAUGCCAGCCUGGAAGCCGCAUCAGCUUAGCAGUUGAUAAAGAUCAAGAAACGCUUCGCUGUUCAUCCCCACAUCCCUUGCAACCAAAGGAGUUCUGGUUAACACACUCAGUGACGGCCAAAGUUCAAGAACAAAGUGACAUGUGAUAUGGAAAUCCAGGGGCUGGGGGCCGGCGUUGUGGCUCAGCAGGUUAAGCCACUGCCUAGGAUGCCAGCAUGCCGGAGAGUCUCCACUACUCCACUUCUGGUCCAGCUCCCUGCUAGUGCACCUGAGAAAGCAGCAGAAGAGGGCCCAGCCCUUCGCAGGGAGCUGGACAGGAAGUGGAGCGGCUGGGAUGAGUGCUGGCACGGCAAGUGGUAGCUUACCCUCCCGUGCCACGAUGUGGGUCACCCAUUCCACGUUUUCCCACGGUGCUUCUACACACAGAUGCUCGAAGGGGAGAGCUGCACCUUUUCCAAACUCCCUCCCCUCCUGUGUGCAAGUGAGAAGGGAAACCUCAGCUGUUUGCUGCCAUCAUUAAAUUCAUGGAGAAAACAGAGAGGAAGAUGGAGCAGCAAACCCAACCGCCCUCAGGACUGGCAGACGCUGCUCCAGCCCCCGGGCUUGGUGGCAGCUGGCAGGGGACAGCUCCUCCUGGAGGCUCAGCGGGAAUGAGUCCUGCAGGAGGCAUUCAGAGUGGGUGAGCAGACCCCAAUCCCGGUUGGAGCCCUGGUCUGGGGGGCCUGAGAGGCAGCAGACGCCUGGCCAUUGCUCACUCCUGCCAAGGGCGUCUCUCCCUGGGGGCUGUGACCUUGGGCCAGGCAGGGCCCUCGGAGGCCUUGGAGUCUCAGCUGCACACUGAGGUCCCCAUCCCCACGCUGUGUGUCCUGGCCGUGGCACGUGGUGUGGGUGUGUUCAGUGGGAGCCACCUUCGAGAAAGCGCUUCUCCUAGAACUGUGGGGGCGGCGGGGAGGCCGGGAGGCCAGCAGAGACCUACUCCUGCAGACCCCCUUUGGGUUUAAAUGGCGAGAGCAGACGGGCUUCCCUGAAGAAGAGAGGCAAGGGAUGCACCCCAAAGAGUGGAGGAGAGGGGGCAUGGGCUCCAUGAGCCUGGGCUCUCUGAUCCCUGUGGGAGUCCCAGGCCUGGGACACGACCGACCCCGAGUC